rnacentral:antisense_RNA from 1 species
GGCCUUUUCUGCCGGUUCCUCCCUCUGAGGAAGUGUAGCUCAAGACGCUGGCUUACGAAUUUGGUAGCAUGGGCUGUUGUGCUGGAGAGAACGAGAGCUACGAAGAGACUAGAAUGCCUCUGACUUUUUCAUAGGACAGUUGGCCGAGGAAGACACUUAAAGAUGAAGUGCUUAAUUCAAGGUCACAGAAUGUCGGGGAUGGACCUCCAGAUUUCCUUACUGACCUGCAUUAUCUUGUGGAUACCUGAGUGAAUUCCACACCACCCAUUUUAUAGAUGAAGCCACUGAGACGUGGAGCAACUGACUGAGUAGUCACUGCCCCACCCCUGCCUGGAGCCUCACACAUGACUUCUCUUAGUGACCACAGGAAAACAAGCUCAGGGCUCCCACUGAUUGUACAUUAUGGUGAGACGUGGUCUUGUAACACAGUGGUUAAGAAUGUGACUUUGGAGCCAGCCUGCUAGGGGCUGAAUUCUGACUCAGCCAUUUAUUAACUGUGUGACCUUAGGCUGGCGUGCAAUGGCGUGAUCUCGGCUCACCACAACCUCUGCUUCCCGGGUUCAAGCGAUUCUCCUGCCUCAGCCUCCCGAG